rnacentral:tRNA from 2 species
GCGGGGGUCGCCCAGCCUGGCCAACGGCGCUGGGUUUAGGUCCCAGUCCAUUAGUGGUUCGCGAGUUCAAAUCUCGUCCCCCGCACCA